rnacentral:lncRNA from 1 species
CAAUAUGACUUUUAUCUCUCGGUAGGAAGAACAAGGUUGGCAUUAUUGACCAUCUAGAAAACAAAUUUCUACUAGCUAUGGUUUUGAUAUUCGACUUACCUGGAGUUGCGUAUUAAGUUACCCUGAGAUUUUAAUAUCUCAAGACAAUUAUGGUCGAAGUUGUCAUAUAAUGUAAGUAAUAUUAACUUGUUAUUUCCGUUGGAUAGUAUAUCUAUCUUUUCCUCCAAGAAAAACCUAAGAGGUAAUGCCACGGGGUUCUCAUUGUGCGCUCGCGCACAAUCCUCUUACAUGUGAUAAGAGAA